rnacentral:pre_miRNA from 1 species
GGCAGGAAAAGAGGAAGUUUCAAAGUAGUACUUUGAAAGAAGUACUUUGAAACUUCCUCUUUUCCUGCC